rnacentral:rRNA from 1 species
GAUGAACGCUGGCGGCGUGCCUAAUACAUGCAAGUCGAGCGAACGGACGAGAAGCUUGCUUCUCUGAUGUUAGCGGCGGACGGGUGAGUAACACGCGGAUAACCUACCUAUAAGACUGGGAUAACUUCGGGAAACCGGAGCUAAUACCGGAUGAUAUUUUGAACCGCAUGGUUCAAAAGUGAAAGACGGUCUUGCUGUCACUUAUAGAUGGAUCCGCGCUGCAUUAGCUAGUUGGUAAGGUAACGGCUUACCAAGGCAACGAUGCAUAGCCGACCUGAGAGGGUGAUCGGCCACACUGGAACUGAGACACGGUCCAGACUCCUACGGGAGGCAGCAGUAGGGAAUCUUCCGCAAUGGGCGAAAGCCUGACGGAGCAACGCCGCGUGAGUGAUGAAGGUCUUCGGAUCGUAAAACUCUGUUAUUAGGGAAGAACAUAUGUGUAAGUAACUGUGCACAUCUUGACGGUACCUAAUCAGAAAGCCACGGCUAACUACGUGCCAGCAGCCGCGGUAAUACGUAGGUGGCAAGCGUUAUCCGGAAUUAUUGGGCGUAAAGCGCGCGUAGGCGGUUUUUUAAGUCUGAUGUGAAAGCCCACGGCUCAACCGUGGAGGGUCAUUGGAAACUGGAAAACUUGAGUGCAGAAGAGGAAAGUGGAAUUCCAUGUGUAGCGGUGAAAUGCGCAGAGAUAUGGAGGAACACCAGUGGCGAAGGCGACUUUCUGGUCUGUAACUGACGCUGAUGUGCGAAAGCGUGGGGAUCAAACAGGAUUAGAUACCCUGGUAGUCCACGCCGUAACCGAUGAGUGCUAAGUGUUAGGGGGUUUCCGCCCCUUAGUGCUGCAGCUAACGCAUUAAGCACUCCGCCUGGGGAGUACGACCGCAAGGUUGAAACUCAAAGGAAUUGACGGGGACCCGCACAAGCGGUGGAGCAUGUGGUUUAAUUCGAAGCAACGCGAAGAACCUUACCAAAUCUUGACAUCCUUUGACAACUCUAGAGAUAGAGCUUUCCCCUUCGGGGGACAAAGUGACAGGUGGUGCAUGGUUGUCGUCAGCUCGUGUCGUGAGAUGUUGGGUUAAGUCCCGCAACGAGCGCAACCCUUAAGCUUAGUUGCCAUCAUUAAGUUGGGCACUCUAAGUUGACUGCCGGUGACAAACCGGAGGAAGGUGGGGAUGACGUCAAAUCAUCAUGCCCCUUAUGAUUUGGGCUACACACGUGCUACAAUGGACAAUACAAAGGGCAGCGAAACCGUGAGGUCAAGCAAAUCCCAUAAAGUUGUUCUCAGUUCGGAUUGUAGUCUGCAACUCGACUACAUGAAGCUGGAAUCGCUAGUAAUCGUAGAUCAGCAUGCUACGGUGAAUACGUUCCCGGGUCU